CCCUCCUCCCCUCGCCGAGACACCGCUGGAUCCUCCGCCCCCCCGGACCUCCCGGCGGGAUCCUCCUCCAGCCCGCAGCCCCAUAUGCUCCUCCAUGUGGACUGAGAACCCAUCAAGACACACACACGAGAACUCAUCCCGAUCAACUCCAAAUCCUGGCUUUUCCAAGACUGAAUCGAAAGCUGCCAAAGAGCCCCAUAAAGAAAAGACUAAAAGGUAAGAAGGGGUAAGAUCCUCUUAAUGCAGGCACGGUAGAAGUUAAGAGGGGAAGAGACCUGCAAAGCCGGUGCAUACCUCCUUUUUCACAAGUUUAAACGAGAUUGUUAUUAUUUUUAAACUGCUUAUUAGUUAGCGAAUCAAGAAACACCCCAAAACAUUUCAAAAUCCAUUUUAUUUUUAUACGAUUUUUAAAAAACGUGAACAACCUCCGGAAUUUUUUUUUUUCCUUAAUGAUAGAAUUAAUUCCGUAUUUUUUCUCUGUCCGGAAUCGCUGUUUUUCGCCCCGAAGAGCGAGCAGAAAGUGCCAUUUGUGAGCAUGUUGUGUUACUCAGACAUGACAUGAAGGCAGCUUCUGCUGCAAGGCAUGACCGUGUGCUCUUGCUUUAGAACUUACACGUGUGAAAAU
rnacentral:lncRNA from 1 species